CUACGUGCCAGCAGCCGCGGUAAUACGUAGGGCGCGAGCGUUGUCCGGAAUUAUUGGGCGUAAAGAGCUUGUAGGCGGUUGGUCGCGUCUGCUGUGAAAGGCCGGGGCUUAACUCCGGUUUUGCAGUGGGUACGGGCUAACUAGAGUGCAGUAGGGGAGACUGGAAUUCCUGGUGUAGCGGUGGAAUGCACAGAUAUCAGGAGGAACACCGAUGGCGAAGGCAGGUCUCUGGGCUGUAACUGACGCUGAGAAGCGAAAGCAUGGGGAGCGAACAGGAUUAGAUACCCUGGUAGUCCAUGCCGUAAACGUUGGGCACUAGGUGUGGGGGACAUUCCACGUUUUCCGCGCCGUAGCUAACGCAUUAAGUGCCCCGCCUGGGGAGUACGGCCGCAAGGCUAAAACUCAAAGGAAUUGACGGGGGCCCGCACAAGCGGCGGAGCAUGCGGAUUAAUUCGAUGCAACGCGAAGAACCUUACCAAGGCUUGACAUGCAUUAGAUCGCGUCAGAGAU
rnacentral:rRNA from 1 species